AAUUAUAUAACAUAUUUUAAACCGUUGUUAUAUCAAACUUAAACUCUAAUAAUUACUUCUAAAACACAUUUCAUACAACAAAGGCAUGUCACUCUCACUUUCCGAUUUUCAUUUUCUUUCUUUCUUUCUUUUCCACGUUAAUGCACAACAAUAAUUCUAUAAUAACAUCAAUCAUAUGGGUUGUUACUUUGCACUUCCACCUCCCCCAUCUUGCAAGUUUAGGUCCUCAAAACCUCUUUAAUUUACUUACUCUUCUUCAGUGCUGCACACAGUUUCUAAUACUCACAUGGUUUAUUAGAAGCUUGUCACCACCAUAGCUCAAAGGAGUAGUUAGUUGGGGCAAUUAUUACCAGAUGACUAUGAACAAGAAGCAUCGUGUCCUCGUGUUUAUGAUCAUCAUGGUUGUUUCAAUUGCAGAGAAACCUUCACUUACAGAAGGGAGGGCACUUUCCUUAAUAUCUUCUCAAGGGUACUCGAAAAUUUUCGCGACUCUCGGAGUUGUUUGCAAGUGUUGUGAUGGUGGAGGUGCCUGCACAAGUAGAUGGACAAAAUCUUGCAAUAAUCUCAAGUGUCUUCCUUGGAAGUCAGUGUCACAUAAUUAGUUACCACUUUUAGUUUUGCUUAUCUAGCUUUGGUCUUGCAUGUAAUUAAUAAGCUUAGACAGUAUUAUUAGUAUAGUAGUUAUGCAAAGUUUAAGAAACAACCUUGUGCUAUGGGAAGUGGGAACAGUUUGAAUUCCUUGAGUUCGUGGUGAAGUUUCCGAAGUUUCUUCCUUUUGAACAGGUCAAUGACAACAGUAUACAGUAUGAAAUGAAUGAAUGAAUGAAAACAUGACAUGUCUCUUCUGUAAUACUAUUAUGUACUCCAAAAUAAGCAAUCACUCAUAAUACGGGAACAUAUAUGGUUGCAUUUAUUAUAUUGUUGACUUGAGAAUUUAGAGGGACGACGGAAGGAGGGGUUUUAAUUUGAUAAUGUAAGGUGGGAUGAGUACUAUUUAAUUUUAAUUUCGCUGUCCUGAAUAUGAGAAUUGUUGUAUUUGAGAAAAAAGUUGAACCAA